rnacentral:rRNA from 1 species
AACGAACGCUGGCGGCAUGCCUAACACAUGCAAGUCGAACGAGACCUUCGGGUCUAGUGGCGCACGGGUGCGUAACGCGUGGGAACCUGCCCUUAGGUUCGGAAUAACUCCCCGAAAGGGGUGCUAACACCGGAUAAUGUCUUCGGACCAAAGAUUUAUCGCCUUUGGAUGGGCCCGCGUUGGAUUAGCUAGUUGGUAGGGUAAAAGCCCACCAAGGCGACGAUCCAUAGCUGGUCUGAGAGGAUGAUCAGCCACACUGGGACUGAGACACGGCCCAGACUCCUACGGGAGGCAGCAGUGGGGAAUAUUGGACAAUGGGCGAAAGCCUGAUCCAGCAAUGCCGCGUGAGUGAUGAAGGCCUUAGGGUUGUAAAGCUCUUUUACCCGGGAUGAUAAUGACAGUACCGGGAGAAUAAGCUCCGGCUAACUCCGUG